UUAUCCGAUCCUACCACUUGUUCAAGCACUGACAAAACCAGCAGCACCACGGCCAGUUUGACCAACAUUGCGUCUCCGACAGUGUGCUCCGAUUCCCAGCAAAUAUCCGGCAGUGUGUGCGCGCGCGCGCGCGCGUGUUUGAUCGAGCCCCUGGCCAGACCACUCUGUGAGUCGCUGUGGGGAUAGAAGGGCCCUUUAUUAGAGAUGGCACACAGGGGUCCUUCAUAAGGCCCACAUGGGCACUUUAUAACAUCUGACAUAAGCAUUUGAGAGUGUGGUUACCAAUGCUUGUGGUUGAUGCAUGGCUCACUACUCACUUUCUCUCCCCUCUCCACUGCCCUUCAACCAAGAGAAAGGGAGAAAGAAACAGACGGGGUAAACAUAAAAGCAGAACACGGAGAGAGGGGAAAAUCAAAAUCUAGUGAUGCUGGACCAUAAACACACAGAAGCAGUUGGAUAAACAUCAUGAACUUCAUAUAAAAGCUCUGAGGGGGCUUUCGCUAAUAAAAAAAAGCUACUAAUCAUUGUAAGCCAAUGCUAUAUUAGCAUCAGAGGUGAUGGCUGACUUUAAUAAUGUGUUAUAAAAAGCAAUUCCCAACGCUGUGGGUGUUUUCUGAUCCUGUGCCCCUUUCGGCAUCUUUGUCACUACUUUCCAGAAAGAAAACAGAUGGCCGUCCA